rnacentral:rRNA from 1 species
AGAGUUUGAUCAUGGCUCAGAACGUACGCUGGCGGCACGCCUAACACAUGCAAGUCGAACGCAGUAGCAAUACUGAGUGGCAAACGGGUGAGUAUAAUGUGGGAAUCUGCCUUUUGGUUCGGAAUAACACGAGGAAACUUGUGCUAAUACCGGAUAAGCCCUUACGGGGAAAGUUUUAAUGCCAAAAGAUGAGCCCGCACUUGAUUAGCUAGUUGGUAAGGUAAUGGCUUACCAAGGCAACGAUCAAUAGCUGUUCUUAGAGGAAGACCAGCCACAUUGGGACUGAGACACGGCCCAAACUCCUACGGGAGGCAGCAGUGGGGAAUCUUGCACAAUGGGGGAAACCCUGAUGCAGCGAUGCCGCGUGAGUGAAGAAGGCCCUUGGGUUGUAAAACUCUUUCGUCGGGGAAGAAAAUGACUGUACCCGAAUAAGAAGGUCCGGCUAACUUCGUGCCAGCAGCCGCGGUAAUACGAAGGGACCUAGCGUAGUUCGGAAUUACUGGGCUUAAAGAGUUCGUAGGUGGUUGAAAAAGUUGGUGGUGAAAUCCCAGAGCUUAACUCUGGAACUGCCAUCAAAACUUUUCAGCUAGAGUAUGAUAGAGGAAAGCAGAAUUUCUAGUGUAGAGGUGAAAUUCGUAGAUAUUAGAAAGAAUACCAAUUGCGAAGGCAGCUUUCUGGAUCAUUACUGACACUGAGGAACGAAAGCAUGGGUAGCGAAGAGGAUUAGAUACCCUCGUAGUCCAUGCCGUAAACGAUGUGUGUUAGACGUUGGAAAUUUAUUUUCAGUGUCGCAGCGAAAGCGAUAAACACACCGCCUGGGGAGUACGACCGCAAGGUUAAAACUCAAAUGAAUUGACGGGGACCCGCACAAGCGGUGGAGCAUGUGGUUUAAUUCGAAGCAACGCGCAGAACCUUACCAACCCUUGACAUGUUCGUCGCGAGACUAAGAAAUUAGUCUCUUCGGUUCGGCCGGACGAAACACAGGUGCUGCAUGGCUGUCGUCAGCUCGUGUCGUGAGAUGUUGGGUUAAGUCCCGCAACGAGCGCAACCCCUACUUUUAGUUGCCAUCAGGUUAAGCUGGGCACUCUAAUAGAACUGCCUGUGAUAAACAGGAGGAAGGUGGGGAUGACGUCAAGUCCUCAUGGCCCUUACGGGUUGGGCUACACACGUGCUACAAUGGUAAGUACAAUGAGAUGCCGAACAGCGAUGUUUAGCCAAACUCAAAAACUUACCUCAGUUCGGAUUGCACUCUGCAACUCGAGUGCAUGAAGCUGGAAUCGCUAGUAAUCGUGGAUCAGCGUGCCACGGUGAAUACGUUCCCGGGUCUUGUACACACCGCCCGUCACACCAUGGAAGUUAGAUUUACCUUAAGGCAAGUUAUGAACCCUCGGGACAUGCUUGACCACGGUAAGUUUAGCAACUGGGGUGAAGUCAUAACAAGGUAGCCG